rnacentral:lncRNA from 1 species
AAAGGUCCAAUGUUGUAUGAUUAAUAUGCUUAUGUUAGUGUCCAGUCUAUGGAUACUCUGAAAUGGAAUAUUGGAGGAAAACAAAAUACAACGGCCUUCUAUCCGCAGUAGAGAUCGCCCAUCAACGAGGACGUUGUUGUAGGACCUGACUAAGCUCAUCACUAGGUUAGACCGCGUUCGGUUUUCUGUUGUAAUAAGGCUCGCAGGCUGGUUCUAUCAGCUGCCGCUCGUAGACAGGUUCAGGGAGUGCUCGCGCACGUCCCGGUCUUUUCCGUUUUACUUUGAUCUGUUCUCCCGGUUGGAUUAGCGCAUGACUCGCAGCUGUGGGAUGGCGCAGCGACAUGCGGAUGGUGAGCGAGCCAGCCAGGAGUUAGUUAGCAGGUUAGUUAGGGACUUUGUAAUCGAGAGAUAUACAUGGUCAGGAAUAACAGAAAAGGUCAAAAGGUCUGGCGAUGCAAAAACCUCUCUCUCUCGCACGAUCUCGUUCGAACUCGGUUGAUCUCGUUGGUUUGACACCAACAAUUGGUAUCAGAGCCUCGGUGUUCGAUCCGCAGCUCCGGCGACCAGUGGUGUACGAUCCGCGGUGGCCAUGUCCGACAGCGAGACCGACAAGAACAAGACCGGCAAGAAGAAGGAAAGCUCGCCAAGCUCGCCGCCGCUAGCGCGUCUCACAAGAGGCGGCAACGGCGAGUUCCGAGUGGUGGAGCGGGUGGUGCGUGAGGAGUCCGGGAUGACCAUGAUGCUCACCCGCACCAACUACAUGGAGUGGGCCUUGUUCAUGCAGGUGAAACUACAGGCCUGCAGGCUCUGGGCGGCGGUGAACGCCGGCACUGACGACGAGCGCGACGAUCGGCGUGUGCUGGCCGUCAUCCUCACCAACGUGCCGCCGGAGCUGAUUCGGGUGCUGGCGGCCAAGGAUACCACCAAAACCGCGUGGGAGACGAUCAAAACCCCGCGUAUGGGCAGCGAGCGCGUCCGGGAAGCCAAGGCGCAGGUGCGGCGCCGUGAGUUCCAGGAACUCAGGUUCAAGGACGGCAAAUCCAUUGAGGACUUCGCGCUGCGCCUGACGGGGAUCGUCGCUGACCUAGAUCUCUACGGUGAUCCUGUUACGGAACACAAAGCUGUAUAGAAGUUCCUACGGGUCGUGCCACGCAAGUACCUGCAAAUGGCGAUGGCCAUCGAGUCUCUCAUCGACCUCAAGACGAUGAUCGUCGAAGAGCUGGUCGGACGACUCUCGGCUUGUGAAGAUCAUUACGAUAUGGAUGAUGCCCCCCAGUCGGGCGGUCAUCUCCUGCUCACUCGCGAGGAGUGGCUUGCACGCGAGCACCAGUACGGCGGCGGCGCAACGUCGCACGGCAACGGUGGCUCCUCCUCCGGCGGUGGAGGUGGCAAGAACAAGUCGCCGGGGAAACCCAAGCAAGCGAACGGUGGCAAGCCCGGAGGCGCGGGCGGUUCCGGCGGGAAGAAGAAAGGCAAGUGCCACUACUGCAACAAGUCGGGCCACUGGAAGAAGGAGUGCCGCACCAGAAUCAAGGAGGAAGAGGAGCAGACCAAGCAGGGCCAAGCGCACCUUGUCCGAGAUGGGGAUGAGCACCACGAAGGCCUCAUGAUGGCCACAGUCACCAUGUCUGUCACUAACAGACUCGUGGCGCCCCAGCAAGUUCACCUGAAUGAAGAAAAAGUGCAUCCGGAGAUCUCACCGCCAGGGCUGUGGUAUUUCGAUACAGGAGCCACAGACCACAUGACGGGGGACAGGGGCAUGUUCAGCACUCUGGAUGAAUCCGUGCAGGGCACUGUGAAGUUCGGAGAUGGAUCUCAUGUCGCAAUCCGUGGAAGAGGUUCGGUGAUCUUCAGAGGGAAGAGUGGCAACCAACGCACUGUUAGAGGUAUACUUCAUCCCAAGUCUGCGCAGCAACAUCAUAUCUGUUGGUCAGCUAGAUGAAGUGGGGUGCAGGAUACAAAUUCAUGAGGGAUCAAUGACAAUCCAUGACACCAGUGGGCGCAUGAUGGCUCAUGUCAGGCGUUCGAGCUGUCGCUUAUACACGGCCGUGCUCACCAUUGACACGCCAGCGUGUUUGCUGACGAAGAACGACGACGAGACCUGGCGUUGGCACGCAAGGAUGGGCCAUCUACACUUCAGGGCACUGCGUGCUAUGUCUACCAAGAACAUGUUACGUGGGAUGCCACCGAUCGACCGCGUCGACGAGUACUGCGACGGGUGUGCCCUCGGCAAACAACACCGCACACCAUUCCCUCAGGUAGCAGCAUACAGGGCCAAGCAAGGUUUGGAGCUUGUCCACACGGACUUGUUUGGCCCAAUCAACCCUCCCACCGUCGGAGGGAACCGGUAUUUCCUGCUCGUCGUUGAUGAUUUCAGUCGCUAUAUGUGGUUGUCAGUACUGAAAUCGAAGGAUGAAGCGUACAGCUGUUUUAAACGGAUUCAGGGUAUCGCUGAGACUGAAGGGAGAUGCAAGCUGCGGGCCUUUCGGUCCGACCGGGGAGGUGAGUUCAACUCCGGUGAUUUCAUGGAGUACUGCGAGAAGCUCGGCGUCAAGCACUACACCACUGCACCAUAUUCGCCGCAACAAAAUGGGGUCGUCGAGCGGCGGAAUCAAACCGUGGUUGAGAUGGCGAGAUGCUUGCUCAAGAGCAUGGCCAUGCCCGCAACCUUCUGGGGAGAGGCUGUUAGAACAACAGUCUACAUCCUGAACCGGUCCCCCACGCGCAGCCUCGAUGGUGUCACGCCUUAUGAGGCUUGGCACGGCCGUAAGCCCAAUGUGUAGCACCUGCGCACUUUCGGCUGCACGGUUCAUGUGAAGAAGCUGGGACCAGGGACGACGAAGCUAUCCGAUUGAUCAACGCCAAUGGUAUUCAUCGGAUACGAAGAAGGAGCAAAAUGCUACCGGGUGUAUAAUCCAAUCACCAACAAACUGCAGGUAACUCGUGAUGUCUUAUUUGAGGAAAGCAGGCCAUGGAAUUGGGACGAGCCGGGCACAUCCGCAGCAAUGCCCGCGCCGCCUACGUUCACGGCGGUCUACGCCACUGGACCUGGAGAGCACGAGCUGGACACCGGCGGCGCCACACACCAGCAGGCGAACAGUGACGCGGCGGCACCCUCCACACCAGCUCUAGGGUCACCGCGGUCACCCAUGUCGCCGGGUCCUGGGACUCCACAGCCCCACACGGUCCCGACUCCAGCGACAAAGGAGGAUGUCUCUGCUACACCCGCUGCAGUCCGUAGCAUGGGCUGGGCCACGCCUUCAACACACGACGAUGCGUGAGAUACAGACUCCGGGCCUAUUCGCUAUCGGCGCCUCGAGUACUUGCUCGACGAGACUGAGAGCGAAGCGGUGCGGGAGUCCACCGAGCGCUGCUUGCUCAGCGCCGAAGAGCCGCGUAACGUCGGGAUGGCACUCGGGGACGCAGCGUGGAAGGCCGCCAUGGACGAAGAGAUGCACUGCAUCGAAGAGAACAAGACCUGGCAGUUGUGCACACUCCCGGCAGGACAUAAGGCGAUUGGUUUGAAAUGGGUGUUUAAGGUGAAACGAGAUCCAGCCGGCAACAUUGUCAAGCACAAAGCUCGCUUGGUGUCUAAGGGCUAUGCACAGCGAGAGGGGGUGGACUUCGAUGAUGUCUUCGCACCGGUGGCCAGGAUGGAAACAGUCCGUGUUCUUCUUGCCCUUGCCGCACAUUCGUAGUGGGAGGUGCAUCACAUGGAUGUGAAAUCGGCUUUUCUGAAUGGGGAGCUCAUCGAGGAGGUCUAUGUAGCUCAGCCACCCGGGUACGAGGUCACUGGACAAGAAUCUCGGGUACUGAAGCUGCAAAAGGCACUGUAUGGUCUUCGACAGGCACCAAGGGCAUGGUACGCGAAGCUUGACGAGUCACUAACCUCACUUGGUUUCAUCCACAGCCCUUUGGAGCAUGCUGUGUACAGGCGAGGUGAUUCUACUUCAUAUCUCCUGGUUGGGGUCUAUGUUGAUGAUCUCAUCAUCACAGGGACGGAGGUGUCCGCCAUUGUCAGCUUCAAGGAUCAAAUGCAGCGGCUGUUCAAAAUGAGCGAUCUAGGUUUGCUGAGUUACUACCUGGGGAUUGAAGUGUCACAAGAAAAGGCGAUGAUCACGCCGCACCAGAGAAGUUACGCCGCCAAGGUAUUGGAAGCUGCCGGUAUGAGCAAUUGCUACAACUCUGCAACUCCCAUGGAGUGUCGCCUGAAGCUGAACAAGGAAGAUGGAGGCGAGCAUGUUGAUCCCACCAUGUACCGCAGCGUGAUUGGCAGCCUGCGAUACCUUGUCAACACUCGCCCGGACAUCGCCCAUGUUGUCGGCAUUGCAAGCAGAUUCAUGGAGAAGCCUAGCUCGCACCAUUGGGCGGCUGUGAAGCAGAUUUUAAGGUACAUCAAAGGAACUUUGGAUUAUGGGUGUUGUUACAAGCCUGGUAAUGGGGAAGUAGCUUUGCUAGGGUAUAGCGACAGUGAUCAUGCAGGUGAUAUAGGAGAUCGAAAGAGCACCUCCGGGCAAGUUUUCUUCAUCGGUGAAAAUCCGGUCACUUGGUGCUCCCAGAAGCAAAAGAUCGUGGCCAUGUCCUCCUGUGAAGCCGAAUACGUUGCGGCAGCAGCAGCGACAUGCCAAGGGUUGUGGCUGUCUUGAUUGGUUGGUGACUUGUUGGGCAAACCGACAGAGAAGUUCAGACUCUUGUUGGACAACCAGGCCGCCAUUGCUCUCAGCAAGAACCCUAUGUACCAUGACCGUAGCAAGCAUAUUGACAUCAAGUUUCAUUUCAUUCGGGGUUGUGUGGAUACUGGUCAGGUGGAGAUCAGCCAUGUCCGCUCUCAAGAACAGCUCGCCGAUACUCUGAAGAAGUCGUUGGGGAGGGUGAACUUCAUCGAGAUGAGGAAGAAACUUCGGAUGAUCAAGAUAGAUGCUGGGUGCUGAGCUUAAGGGGGUGAAAUGUAGGACCUGACUAAGCUCAUCACUAGGUUAGACCACGGUCGUUUUUGUGUUGUAAUAAGGCGCGCAGGCUGGUUCUGUCAGCUGCCGCUCGUAGACAGGUUCAGGGAGUGCUCGCGCACGUCCCGGUCUUUUCCGUUUUACUUUGAUCUGUUCUCCCGGUUGGAUUAGCGCAUGACUCGCAGCUGUGGGAUGGCGCAGCGACAUGCGGAUGGUGAGCGAGCCAGCCAGGAGUUAGUUAGCAGGUUAGUUAGGGACUUUGUAAUCGAGAGAUAUACAUGGUCAGAAAUAACAUAAAAGGUCAAAAGGUCCGGCGACGCAAAAACCUCCCUCUCUCACACGAUCUCGUUCGAAC